GAUGAAUGCUAGCGGCAGGCUUAACACAUGCAAGUCGAGGGGCAGCACGAUGUAGCAAUACAUUGGUGGCGACCGGCGCACGGGUGCGUAACACGUAUGGAACUUACCCUUUACUGGGAGAUAGCCCGGGGAAAUCCGGAUUAAUAUCCCAUAAUAAACGAAGUGGCAUCACUUUGUUUUGAAAGCUCCGGCGGUAAAGGAUGGCCAUGCGCACGAUUAGCUAGUAGGUGAGGUAACGGCUCACCUAGGCUACGAUCGUUAGGGGGCCUGAGAGGGUUAUCCCCCACACUGGUACUGAGACACGGACCAGACUCCUACGGGAGGCAGCAGUGAGGAAUAUUGCGCAAUGGAGGCAACUCUGACGCAGCCAUGCCGCGUGCAGGAAGAAGGCGCUACGCGUCGUAAACUGCUUUUAUCAGGGAAGAAACCCCCAGACCGUGUCUGGGGUUGACGGUACCUGAGGAAUAAGCACCGGCUAACUUCGUGCCAGCAGCCGAC
rnacentral:rRNA from 1 species